CACCUUUCGGGGUGAGUGGCAGACGGGUGAGUAACGCGUGGGAAUCUACCCUUCUCUACGGGAUAGCUCCGGGAAACUGGAAUUAAUACCGUAUACGUCCUGAGGGAGAAAGAUUUAUCGGGGAAGGAUGAGCCCGCGUUGGAUUAGCUAGUUGGUAAGGUAAAAGCUUACCAAGGCGACAAUCAAUAGCUGAUUUGAGAGGAUGAUCAGCCACACUGGGACUGAGAUACGGCCCAGACUCC
rnacentral:rRNA from 1 species